rnacentral:tRNA from 1 species
GCAGGGGUGCCGGAGCGGUCAAACGGGGCAGCCUCAAGAGCUGCUGGCUUAGGCCUCUCGUGAGUUCGAAUCUCACCCCCUGCA